AGAGUUUGAUCCUGGCUCAGAUUGAACGCUGGCGGCAUGCUUUACACAUGCAAGUCGGACGGCAGCGGGGGUGCUUGCACCUGCCGGCGAGUGGCGAACGGGUGAGUAACACAUUGGAACGUACCGGGUAAUGGGGGACAACCGGCCGAAAGGCCGGCUAAUACCGCAUACGCUCUGAGGAGGAAAGCGGGGGACCUACGGGCCUCGCGUUAUCCGAGCGGCCAAUGACUGAUUAGCUAGUUGGCGGGGUAAAGGCCCACCAAGGCGACGAUCAGUAGCGGGUCUGAGAGGACGAUCCGCCACACUGGGACUGAGACACGGCCCAGACUCCUACGGGAGGCAGCAGUGGGGAAUUUUGGACAAUGGGGGCAACCCUGAUCCAGCCAUGCCGCGUGUCUGAAGAAGGCCUUCGGGUUGUAAAGGACUUUUGUUAGGGAAGAAAAGGGAAGUGCUAAUACCACUUUUUACUGACGGUACCUAAAGAAUAAGCACCGGCUAACUACGUGCCAGCAGCCGCGGUAAUACGUAGGGUGCGAGCGUUAAUCGGAAUUACUGGGCGUAAAGCGGGCGCAGACGGUUACUUAAGCAGGAUGUGAAAUCCCCGGGCUUAACCUGGGAACUGCGUUCUGAACUGGGUAGCUAGAGUAUGUCAGAGGGGGGUAGAAUUCCACGUGUAGCAGUGAAAUGCGUAGAGAUGUGGAGGAAUACCGAUGGCGAAGGCAGCCUCCUGGGAUAAUACUGACGUUCAUGCCCGAAAGCGUGGGUAGCAAACAGGAUUAGAUACCCUGGUAGUCCACGCCCUAAACG
rnacentral:rRNA from 1 species